rnacentral:rRNA from 1 species
UACAGAGGGUGCGAGCGUUGUCCGGAAUCACUGGGCGUAAAGGGCGCGUAGGCGGCUUGGGAAGUCCGUGGUGAAAGCCCGAGGCUCAACUUCGGGUCGGCCAUGGAUACUCCUAAGCUCGAGUCGACUAGAGGCUAAUGGAAUUCCCGGUGUAGCGGUGAAAUGCGUAGAGAUCGGGAGGAAGGCCGGUGGCGAAGGCGGCGCUCUGGAACAUUUCUGACGCUGAGGCUCGAAAGCGUGGGAGCAA